rnacentral:rRNA from 1 species
CAGUAGCCGCGGGAAUACGUAGGGUGCAAGCGUUAAUCGGAAUUACUGGGCGUAAAGCGUGCGCAGGCGGUUCGUUAAGACAGAUGUGAAAUCCCCGGGCUUAACCUGGGAACUGCAUUUGUGACUGGCGGGCUAGAGUAUGGCAGAGGGGGGUAGAAUUCCACGUGUAGCAGUGAAAUGCGUAGAGAUGUGGUGGAAUACCGAUGGCGAAGGCAGCCCCCUGGGCCAAUACUGACGCUCAUGCACGAAAGCGUGGGGAGCAAACAGGAUUAGAUACCCCCGUAGUCCCUGUCUCUUAUAC